CCUUAUCAAACUGUGACAUAUAAAAUUUGAACUAUCUUAUUAGGAGCGGCAGAGGCAUGAAUUAUUUUCUAGAUAAGAUGAUUUAUUAUAUUGACCCCCUUUAAUAAACAUGAACAAUUGUUAGUACUGUUGAAGAUAUAGUUAAAUAUGAUUUUUCUGACAGUGUUAACUUUUAGAUAAAAUGAGAUGAUUGCUCAAUUCAACGUGGUACACCAGGGCAUGUAGGGAUCCAGGGUCUAAAUCUCAUGACCUCCACCCAUUAGAAGGAAAAAUAAAAAAGAAUUUUCACAUGUUUGACUUAUAGAAAAUAAUCAAAUUAAUAAAAACAUAGUGUACCUAACAAUUUAUCUUUUAGAGGAGGUUAUCACACGAUCAACACAUGUAUGAGCUAUGAAAGACAUUAUAGUAAUUAAUAACAAUAUCUUUUAAGAAAAUUGAUCUUUUAUAUAUGAGAUGGACACAAAUUAUAUUUAUACUUUCCAAAGUACACAAUAAUAUAGCUUACUAAAAAUACACAUAUUUUCAAUGAAAUGUUGGUUCUUCCCGUACAGAUUCUGACGAAUUUUCAUAGAAAAUCAUAAAUAUUCGAUAGAAUACAUCGGUCAAAUCAAAUUUCUACAUUAAUGCAAGGAUGAAAGAAGAGAACCACAUCUUUAUCAGACUAAUUUUACUUCUCAAUCACAUCGAUUAAUUAGCAAUAAUUUUUCUGUGAACUUUCGAAAAUCAAUUUCAUGUAACUUGGCAAGGAAAUUUUAGUAUUAUAGAAUUAUUGUUAAUAAAAAAAAAAAAAAUCAUACCACUUUGUUCCAAUCACGUGUUUCUGGAUCUCUACAACCUUGUUGAAUAUUUCCAUUGGAAUCUGUGCCCCAAAAA
rnacentral:lncRNA from 1 species